CCGUAACUAUAACGGUCCUAAGGUAGCGAAAUUCCUUGUCGGGUAAGUUCCGACCCGCACGAAAGGCGUAAUGAUUUGAGCGCUGUCUCGACAAUGCAUCCGGUGAAAUUGAAGUACCAGUGAAGAUGCUGGUUACCUGCGCCAGGACGGAAAGACCCCAUGGAGCUUUACUCCAGUCUGGUACUGGGACUCGGUAUUGCAUGUACAGGAUAGGUGGGAGGCUAGGAGAUGGUAACGCCAGUUGCCAUGGAGCCGCUGUUGGGAUACCACCCUUGCAGUAUUGGGUUUCUAACCAGCCGCCGUGACCCGGCGGUGGGACAAUGCCAGACGGGGAGUUUGACUGGGGCGGUCGCCUCCGAAAGGGUAUCGGAGGCGCCCAAAGGUUCCCUCAGAAUGGACGGAAACCAUUCGAAGAGUGCAAAGGCAGAAGGGAGCUUGACUGCGACACCGACGGGUGGAGCAGGUACGAAAGUAGGGCUUAGUGAUCCGGUGGUAUUAAGUGGGAAUGCCAUCGCUCAACGGAUAAAAGCUACCCUGGGGAUAACAGGCUUAUCACUCCCAAGAGUUCACAUCGACGGAGUGGUUUGGCACCUCGAUGUCGGCUCAUCGCAUCCUGGGGCUGUAGUAGGUCCCAAGGGUUGGGCUGUUCGCCCAUUAAAGCGGUACGCGAGCUGGGUUCAGAACGUCGUGAGACAGUUCGGUCCCUAUCCGGCGUGGGCGUAGGAUAUCUGAGAGGAGCUGUCCUUAGUACGAGAGGACCGGGAUGGACGGGCCGCUGGUGCAUCGGUUAGACUGCCAAGUCUACGGCCGAGUAGCCAAGCCCGGAAGGGAUAAACGCUGAAGGCAUCUAAGCGUGAAGCCCCCCUUAAGAUGAGAUAUCCCAUUCGAAAGAAGUAAACCCCCUUGAAGACGACGAGGUAGAUAGGGCAGAGGUGGAAGUGCAGCAAUGCAUGGAGCUGACUGUUACUAAUCGGGUGAGGGCUUGACCAAG
rnacentral:rRNA from 1 species